rnacentral:rRNA from 1 species
AUUGAACGCUGGCGGCAGGCCUAACACAUGCAAGUCGAACGAGUGGCGGACGGGUGAGUAAUGUCUGGGAAACUGCCUGAUGGAGGGGGAUAACUACUGGAAACGGUAGCUAAUACAGCAUACCAUCAGAUGUGCCCAGAUGGGAUGAGCUAGUUGGUGGGGUAACGGCGCACCAAGGCGCCGAUCCCUAGCUGGUCUGAGAGGAUGACCGGCCACACUGGAACUGAGAUACGGUCCAGACUCCUACGGGAGGAAGCAGUAGGGAAUAUUGCACAAUGGGCGCAAGCCUGAUGCAGCAAUGCCGCUUGUAUGAGGAAGGUCUUCGGGUUGUAAAGUUCUUUCAGCGGGGAGGCGUUACCUGAAGAAGAAGCACCGGCUAACUCCGUGCCAGCAGCCGCGGUAAUUC